UGGAUAAUUACGGCAAGUUCUAAGUCAUGGGUGGGGUAGUUCUUCUCAUGACUCUUCAAUUGCCUGGACCCAUAGGCUUAUGACCUUCCCAUGUUGCAUCAGACCACAACCCAACCCUAGGUAGGAGGCAUCACUAUAAACUGUAUAUCCACCCAACCCACUCGGCAAGGCCAACACAGGUGCAGUAGUCAACCAUUUCUUUAGUUUUGAAAAACUCCUUUCAUAGUCCUUGUUCCACUCAAACUUGAC
rnacentral:lncRNA from 1 species